AUCCAGCUGACGAGUCCAAAACAGGACGAAAUGCGUAUCCUCUAU
rnacentral:hammerhead_ribozyme from 1 species